GUGUAUCAUCAAUUAACCUGGCCACAGGGCCUCUGCUCACUGACUGCCCACCUUCGCUCUGGUGAAUACCUUUGGACAGGAUUGUUACAAAACAGGAUUGUUACGUCACUGGGUGCGGUUCCUGGCCUUACACUCCUUAGCUACCAACUGGGCCAAGAACAGCAUCUUUAGAUCACUUUUUGAUGCUUCUUUCACCACUACCACCUUUGAAGGAAUCCAUUACAAAUGAAGGUCAUUAACACUUGAUUUCCAUGCUUCCUAGAUCCCCUUGCUCCCAGUUUGUUGGGAUUAAUCACAAUUAUUUCAUUGCCCAAACAUACAUAACAUCCAUUGGAAAGGCUCAAAUUAGAGCCACUGACCAGUCUCUUUCACAACCCCUCACCGUCACAGAACCCUGACUCAGUUUCACCACUACUACCACUUUGGUGCAGGAGUCUAUGUUUACAUUGUGCUAGAUUUUCUUUGCAUGACAGUAAGCUUAAAUUCAUGGCUCAGUAUAUGAAAUCAGCAUUUGCUAAUGUGGAUAUAUGAACUACUGCUUGCUUUUCACCAUUACUAGGAAACAUUAAUUUUUGUUACUGUGUAAACAUCAACUAGAAAAAAGGUGUGGCCAUGUUCCCACUGAAUAGCUGAGGUAUUUUCCCUGCUCAAGAAAUUUUAUUACCUCAGACUCCCUGGAGACACAGUCUAUCCACCAAGAACAAGAGGAUGAGAAGAGAACAGCAAAGGAGCAAGUACACAUGCCCUUGUCCUUUCGCCUUCUGCUGUGUUAUGAUUCGGCACACCAGAUAGCAAACAGACGUCAGCAGCACCUUCUUGGAUGCUGCAGCUUCCAGCACUGUAAGCAGAUUAAAUCUCCAUUCUUCCUAAUUUA